CGUAGGACGUAAGGACGCCCCCCCCCGCCGGUAGCCAUCUUCGUGCAUAGGCAAACUUAUUGUAGCUAGACUGUACAAAGUAUAUCAAGAUAUGCCAAAUAUUGAGCUUAACUUCACCUGUUUGAGAGACGCUUGCAACACCAUGAAAAAAUUACUGAGACACUAGGAAUGCUGUGAACUGAGAAAGUUUGGGACCUUUGGCAUAACUAAAUCCUUCAUUUAACAGAUGGAGUCUCAGUCUGUCACUAAGGCUGGAGUGCAGUGGCGCGAUCUCGGCUCACUGCAACCUCCACCUCCCGGGUUCACGCGAUUCUCCAGCCUCAGCCUUCCACGUAGCUGGGACUACAGGUGCAUGCCACCACACCCAGUGUUGUGAACCACUUGUCAUGGGAUAACCAAAAUUAAACCUGGAAUCGCAGAAGAAACAAAUUUUUUGAAGAAAUUGGAUGUACUUUUUUAAAAUUUUUCAUUCAACUAAAACUUUGUUAACUGUUUCUUGGUUGUGGUCUUCUCUAAAUUGUAAUCUUUGGCAUUCACUUCCAAAGUAUCCACCACUAAACUUCAUAACAUUUAUUGUGUCUCUUCAUCAUUAAACUUUGAUGAAUUUACAGAGUGUCUUUUGAAAUUAUGUUCUUGAGAAAGGUAAGUUCCCUAAAAAUCCCACCACCUCAGGAACAGAAUUUUCUAAAACUGUUGUAUCUACCUAAGUUACCUAUUUUUGUCUUUUGUCUGGAGUCCACUUGUCCUCAAAACAAAAUUAAUGUUGUAUUCCCUUUUGGUCAAGGACACAUUAAACAUUUCGUGCAGCAUGCACAUUUUUCAGGGAUGUAGAAUCAUAAACAAUUAUUUUUAUACACUUCUUAUGACAUAGGGUGACUUUUACAAUGUGCUGUGCUAUUUAAAGUUAAAUGUUCACCACUACAUAUUGUACCUGUGAAAAGAUUAUAGGUUAGCUUUGAUAAUUUAAAAUAUUUUUGCUACAGCCA
rnacentral:lncRNA from 10 species